rnacentral:rRNA from 1 species
GACGUAGGGCGCAAGCGUUGUCCGGAUUUAUUGGGCGUAAAGAGCUCGUAGGCGGUCUGUUGCGUCGGCUGUGAAAACCCGGGGCUCAACUCCGGGCCUGCAGCCGAUACGGGCAGACUAGAGUUCGGCAGGGGAGACUGGAAUUCCUGGUGUAGCGGUGAAAUGCGCAGAUAUCAGGAGGAACACCGGUGGCGAAGGCGGAUCUCUGGGCCUUACCUGACGCUCAGGUGCGAAAGCUAGGGGAGCGAACAGG